rnacentral:rRNA from 1 species
UACGUAGGGAGCAAGCGUUGUCCGGAAUCAUUGGGCGUAAAGCGCGCGUAGGCGGCCCUGUAAGUCUGUUGUGAAAGUCAAAGGCUCAACCUUUGAAAGCCGAUGGAUACUGCAGGGCUAGAGUCCGGAAGAGGCGAGUGGAAUUCCUGGUAUAGCGGUGAAAUGCGCAGAUAUCAGGAGGAACACCAAUUGCGAAGGCAGCUCGCUGGGACGUUACUGACGCUGAGACGCGAAAGCGUGGGGAGCAAACAGG